UGGGGAAUUUUGGACAAUGGGCGAAAGCCUGAUCCAGCAAUGCCGCGUGUGUGAAGAAGGCCUUCGGGUUGUAAAGCACUUUUGUCCGGAAAGAAAUCCUUGGCUCUAAUACAGUCGGGGGAUGACGGUACCGGAAGAAUAAGCACCGGCUAACUACGUGCCAGCAGCCGCGGUAAUACGUAGGGUGCAAGCGUUAAUCGGAAUUACUGGGCGUAAAGCGUGCGCAGGCGGUUUGCUAAGACCGAUGUGAAAUCCCCGGGCUCAACCUGGGAACUGCAUUGGUGACUGGCAGGCUAGAGUAUGGCAGAGGGGGGUAGAAUUCCACGUGUAGCAGUGAAAUGCGUAGAGAUGUGGAGGAAUACCGAUGGCGAAGGCAGCCCCCUGGGCCAAUACUGACGCUCAUGCACGAAAGCGUGGGGAGCAAACAGGAUUAGAUACCCUGGUAGUCCACGCCCUAAACGAUGUCAACUAGUUGUGGGGAUUCAUUCCUUAGUAACGUAGCUAACGCGUGAAGUUGACCGCCUGGGGAGUACGGUCGCAAGAUUAAAACUUAAAGGAAUUGACGGGGUCAUGCUGUUUCCU
rnacentral:rRNA from 1 species